rnacentral:lncRNA from 1 species
UUUUUUUUUUUUUUUUCCGAACUCCUUAGUCCUUUAAUUUUCUUCAGUUUUUACAAUCUUGCUUUUCUUCGAACACAAUAUCGCUACUGUUGUUAGCAAUACGUGAUUAGUGAAUCUGACAAUCUGUUUUUUUUUACUAUCUAAGCUCGAAUUUUUUUUCUGUCAAAUCUAAAUUUUGGCCCCACCCCACCAAACCUUAAUUUCUGGCCUCGACGUCAUUUUUUUACAACAAUCUUAUCAUAUUCUCUUCUUCUUCUUUUUUUAAUAUAUUAAAAGCUCAAAAGGGUUGUCUAGAUGACCGACCGUCCCUAGAGUAAGUGGUAAAUGGCUUGGUACGUGGUUGGUAUUCGAGAUCUAAGUUCGAAUCCUAAUUGAUUCACAUUUCCAGCUAAGUUUAUUUCUAAAUAAAAUAAACGAAACGGAUAGCGUGCUACCUAUUUAUGAGCAAUACUACCGGACUUGUACACCUAUAAUGCAGGUAUAAAAUCUGCACCCGAGACUCUUUAUAAUUCAAAAUUGCUUACUUGUCUUAUCUUACCAACUUUUUAAAAUACAGAAUUCAAAAGAAAAUUCUCUUCGAUAAUAAUUUGUAUAAAAUAUACAUUCUAUAAUAGAGUACGUACACAUAAUAGAGAUGUCAACAGAUCAGAUUUGGGAUGAAUUUUUUAAAAAUCCGAACCAGAACCUGACUACUGAACCCGUUCAACCCGACCAAAAAUCCGAACCUGCAAACCCGAAUCCGAAACAAUUAUUUCUCUUUACAAAAUUUCAAAAUAUUUUACAUUAAAUUUAAAAUUUUAAAAUACAAACUCAACUAUAAUAUCAACUAUAUAGAGUAGGGCUCCUGUGCUCUCAGGAGCACGGAGGCCUCUGUGCUCCUGAGCCGUUUUCGAUGAUGGAAUUUUCGAAUCGACGAUCGGCUCCGUUAGACUUGAUCUAACGUAUUUGAAGUUUCUAGAAAAUAAUUUUUGCGAUUUUUCGAUAUCAUUUACCUAGCAAUCGAAAGAAUUUAAAAUCAAUAAUUUUUAACGGAUGAAAAUAAAAAUCCUAUAAAAAGUGGUGAUUUAGCACUAAAAUUUUCGAUCAUAAAUAUUGAUCUUGUUGUAAAUAGUAUAAAAAAUUUUGUAUCAAAAUUUCAUCUGAUUUGAAUACUUCUACACCAUUAAACUUGAAAACGACAGAUAUCAACCAUUAAAAAUUAUUAAUUUUGAAUCCUUUCGAUCACUAGAUAAAUGAUAUCAAAAAAUCGCAACAAUUAUUUUCUAGAAACUUCAAAUAACCUAGAUCAAGUCUAACGGAGCCGAUCGUCGACUCGAAAAUUCCAUUAUCGAAAACGGCUCAGGAGCACGGAGGCCUCCGUGCUCCUGAGAGCACAGCAGCCCUGCUCUAUAUAGAGCAUGGAGGCCUCCGGGCUACUAUACUCUUAUGAGUAUUGGGCCCUUAGUACUCAAAAGUUGUUUUCGAUGAUAGAGCUUCCGAAUCGACGAUCCACUCCGUUAAAUAUGAUUUAGAGUAUUUGAAACUUCUAGAAAAUAAAUUUCGUAAUUUUUCGAAAUCAUAAUAAAGUCCAUCGAUCAAGCGGGCAUAAAAUGAACGGUCAAAAUCGAAUGACGUCCUAAAAAUGAAUGAUCGGAUCUUUCAAUUUAAAAUCGGAGUUAUUGAUUCUUAUCUAGGUAGUGAAUAGAAUUUUCUAUCAAAAAUUCAAUCUAUUCCAAUUCUUUUCCACUGUUAAACUAGCAAGUAUCCCAUACCGGCCGUUAAAAAUUGUUAAUUUUGUGAGCUUUUGAUCGUAAGGUAAAUGAUGUCGAAAAGUUAUGAAAUUUGAUUUCUAGAAGUUUUAAAUGCGCUAGAUAAUGUUUAACGAUGUGGAUCGUCGAUUCGGAAACUCUAUCAUCAAAAAAAACUUAUGAGUACGAGGACGAUCGUACUCAUAAGAGUAUAGUAGCCGGACUCUAUAUAUAUAUAUUAAUGUAAAAGCAAUUCGAGUUCGGAUCAGGUACAACCAAAAUUCAUAUCUGAAUUUAAAUUUAUCGGAUUUCGUUUUCGAUAUUUAUAUCCGAAACUAUAUCCGUUUAGCAUGGAAUAUAUCAUAUAUCCGAUC